AUGGACCUCAGGUAACUUAUUGAUCAUGUUGCCUACUAUGAAUUCAUGGUGAGGAACUGGCUCUCCUAUAAACAUCUCCAUUCAUCCACUUGGUGUUGUGUACAAGCAUAACACUAACAUGAAAGUUUCUGGAAAACCAUGUGUGUGUGUGUGUGUGUGUGUGUGUGUGUGUGUGUGUGUGUGUGUGUGUGUGUGUGUGUGUGUGUGUGUGUGUGUGUGUGUGUGUUACAGUACAGUUAGCAGUGCUUGUUUUAAGGUGAUUACAUCUGAGUCAGACAGAGACAGAUUACGAGCUGAAAAGUCAAUGAAAACUCUUCUCUGCAGUCUAGACACACAUUCAUAUAAUAACACACACACACAUUCAUAUAAUAACAAACAUUCAUAUAAUAACACACAGUAACGUGAGCAUGUUGCCUUUCAUAGCCGCAUGUCAUCCAAAGUCUUAGAUCAAAUAAGACUAUGAAAUUGAGGAAUAACGUGUGUGUGUGUGUGUGUGUGUGUUGGCAGUAUCUUAUCACUCCCAGUGGGAAUUUUCAGUGCCAGAAAAAAGGCAUGUUUGAUGUGUACUUUUUUUUCCAGCAGAGCGUAUGCAACCCAGAUGGCAGGUGUUGACUACUGUUUCCACGUGCUAAGUCAGAUGACAGGAGAAAGACGCAUCAGCUGGACCAGCUUGACUCUCUGACACCGAGACAAAGGAAAAGGAAAAGGAAGCACAUAUAACUGUUGUCUGACUGACUGCUACGCAACCUCUCAUCAAUACACGGCAAAGCCUUUUAUCCACAGUUUCACUGCACCGAGCAUAAGCUGCCGUCUGCAAAGGUCUCUAGUGACCUCACCAACAAACAACGUGAUGAACUCCAGCGCCUCCGGGCCACGCUAAACACAUCAGCGUUACACACUCAAUAAACAAAGUGAAAGA